UACAGAGGAUGCAAGCGUUAUCCGGAAUCACUGGGCAUAAAGCGUCUGUAGGUGGCUUAUCAAGUCUGCUGUUAAAGACUAGGGCUUAACCCUAGGAAAGCAGUGGAAACUAAUAAGCUUGAGUGUGGUAGAGGUAGAGGGAAUUCCUGGUGUAGCGGUGAAAUGCGUAGAUAUUAGGAAGAACACCAAUGGCGAAAGCACUCUACUGGGCCAUAACUGACACUAAGAGACGACAGCUAGGGGAGCAAAUGGG
rnacentral:rRNA from 1 species